UAAUACGAAGGGGGCUAGCGUUGUUCGGAAUUACUGGGCGUAAAGCGCACGUAGGCGGAUUUGUUAGUCAGGGGUGAAAUCCCGGGGCUCAACCUCGGAACUGCCUUUGAUACUGCAAGUCUCGAGUCCGGAAGAGGUGAGUGGAAUUCCUAGUGUAGAGGUGAAAUUCGUAGAUAUUAGGAAGAACACCAGUGGCGAAGGCGGCUCACUGGUCCGGUACUGACGCUGAGGUGCGAAAGCGUGGGGAGCAAACAGG
rnacentral:rRNA from 1 species